rnacentral:rRNA from 1 species
GACGAACGCUGGCGGCGUGCCUAAUACAUGCAAGUCGAGCGGACUGAUUAAGAGCUUGCUCUUAUGACGUUAGCGGCGGACGGGUGAGUAACACGUGUGCAACCUGCCCUGUAGAUCGGGAUAACACCGAGAAAUCGGUGCUAAUACCGGGUAAUAUCUUAGAUCACAUGAUCUUAGGUUAAAAGAUGGCUCCGGCUAUCACUACAGGAUGUGCCCGCGGCGCAUUAGCUAGUUUGUAAGGUAAUGGCUUACCAAGGCGACGAUGCGUAGCCGACAUGGGAGGGUGAGCGGCCACACUGGGACUGGGGCACGGCCCAGACUGCUCUGGGAGGCAGCAGUAGGGAAUCUUCCGGAAAGGACGGAAGUAUGACGGAGAAAGGGCGCGUGCGUGAUGAAGGGUUUCGGCGCGUGGAGCGCUGUUGUUAGGGAAGAAACAGUACCGAACGAAUUAGGUCGGUACCUUGACGGUACCUAACAAGAAAGCCACGGCUAACUACGUG